CAGAUCCCCUGGCUAGCCUGUACGAUGAUCUUGACGUGGACAGCACAGAGGCAGAGGUCCCAUUGUUCACCAAGGUGGUGGCCCUGCUGGAAAGGGAGCUUAGUGUUCUUACAGAUCUACUGGUAGAGAGCAUCGAGGAAUACUCUACCAGUGAGGACGAAGUCUCUUCAGGGCCAACCCCAGCACCCUCGCUGCUCCCUAACCCGAAGAAGGAUUCCACAGAAGACGAUUCCGACGGAAGGAGCCACCCUGCGCCU